GAUGAACGCUGGCGGCGUGCCUAAUACAUGCAAGUCGAGCGAAGCGGGGACGGGUGAUUCAUACGUGGAUAACCUCCUAUAAGACUGGGAUCACUUCGGGAAACCUGAGAUAAACCGGAUCCUUCUUGAUGGAUCCGCGCUGCAUUAGCUAGUGGGUAAGGUAGCGGCUUACCAAGGCAACGAUGCAUAGCCGACCUGAGAGGAGGAGCGGAGACACUGGAACUGAGACACGGUCCUGACUCCUACGGGAGGCAGCGGUAGGGAAUCUUCCGCAAUGGAAGAGAGGCUGACGGAGAAAAGCCGCGUGAGUGAUGAAGGGAUUGGUAUAGUAAAACUAUGUUAUUAGGGAAGCGGUACCUAAUCAGAAAGCCACGGCUAACUACGUGCCAGCAGCCGCGGUAAUAC
rnacentral:rRNA from 1 species